GUGAGGAAUUUUCCGCAAUGGGCGAAAGCCUGACGGAGCAAUGCCGCGUGAAGGAUGAAGGCCUAUGGGUUGUAAACUUCUUUUCUUAGAGAAGAAUAUUGACGGUAUCUGAGGAAUAAGCAUCGGCUAACUCUGUGCCAGCAGCCGCGGUAAUACGGAGGGUGCGAGCGUUGUCCGGAUUUAUUGGGUUUAAAUGGUGCGUAGGCUGGAAGGUCAGUCAGCGGUGAAAAGCUGUCGCUUAACGAUAGUCUUGCCGCAGAUACUUCCUUUCUUGGAUGAGGAGGAGGCCACUGGAACGGAUGGUGUAGCGGUGAAAUGCAUAGAUAUCAUCCAGAACACCGAUUGCGAAGGCAGGUGGCUGUACCUUAAUCGACGCUGAUGCACGAAAGCAUGGGGAGCAAACAGGAUUAGAAACCCGAGUAGUCC
rnacentral:rRNA from 1 species